CUCCAGACUCCUACGGGAGGCAGCAGUGAGGAAUAUUGGUCAAUGGGAGAGAUCCUGAACCAGCCAAGCCGCGUGAGGGAAGACGGCCCUAUGGGUUGUAAACCUCUUUUGUCGGAGAACAAAACCCGGGACGUGUCCCGGACUGCGUGUAUCCGAAGAAAAAGCAUCGGCUAACUCCGUGCCAGCAGCCGCGGUAAUACGUAGGUGGCAAGCGUUAUCCGGAUUUACUGGGUGUAAAGGGCGAGUAGGCGGGAUUGCAAGUCAGAUGUGAAAACUAUGGGCUCAACCGAUAGAGUGCAUUUGAAACUGCAGUUCUUGAGUGAUGGAGAGGCAGGCGGAAUUCCCGGUGUAGCGGUGGAAUGCGUAGAUAUCGGGAGGAACACCAGUGGCGAAGGCGGCCUGCUGGACAUUAGCUGACGCUGAGGCGCGAAAGCGUGGGGAGCAAACAGGAUUAGAUACCCUAGUACUG
rnacentral:rRNA from 1 species